GACGAACGCUGGCGGCGUGCUUAACACAUGCAAGUCGUACGGUAAGGCCCUUUCGGGGGUACACGAGUGGCGAACGGGUGAGUAACACGUGAGUAACCUGCCCACAACUUUGGGAUAACGCUAGGAAACUGGUGCUAAUACUGGAUAUGUUCUCCUGCUGCAUGGUGGGGGUUGGAAAGCUCCGGCGGUUGUGGAUGGACUCGCGGCCUAUCAGCUUGUUGGUGGGGUAGUGGCCUACCAAGGCGGCGACGGGUAGCCGGCCUGAGAGGGUGACCGGCCACAUUGGGACUGAGAUACGGCCCAGACUCCUACGGGAGGCAGCAGUGGGGAAUAUUGAACAAUGGGCGCAAGCCUGAUGCAGCAACGCCGCGGGCGGGAUGACGGCCUUCGGGUUGUAAACCGCUUUCAGCAGGGACGAAGCUUUUUGUGACGGUACCUGCAGAAGAAGCACCGGCUAACUACGUG
rnacentral:rRNA from 1 species